GCACUCCGGGGCUGGAGUUCGGCGAGGCCUUGGGACUGGCGCUGGAGCCCAGCGUGGGAUGACCGUGCCCCGGAAACAUGCCAGUGAAUGGAAAGAAGCCAAGGUCCCCUCCCUCCCUCCUUAUACCCUCAACUUUGCCAAUGAGGACCCUAAAUACCGGCUGCACUACGGGGAAUUUAACUACAUACACCGUCACCAAAGUUACAGCCUGGCCAAGAAAUGCCAGGGGACGUUGCGGCGAUUGCAGACUCCGCGGUGACUGUGUAGAUACGUCCAGAAUUCGCCCGUGUAGCGCGGGGAGAGGCGAGAGUGAAGGCCUAGAAAGAUGGAGUCUCGCUCUGUUGCCCAGGCUAGAGUGCAGUGGCACAAUCUCAGCUCACUGCAGCCUCCACCUCCCGGGUUCAAGUGAUUCCCCUGCCUCAGCCUCCUGAGUAGCUGGAAUUACAGAACUGCCACCAUACUGCCUGCAAAGAGGGGAAGGCCCGUGCAUCUGCCACAAGCAGGAGAGGGCAGAGCUGACAGCUGUGAUCUGGAACAUGCGAUUUGGAGGAUUCAAAUCAUUUUCAGUGGGCUGUGUUUGGGUCACGUGACCUAAUCAGGAAAUUUCAUGCAAUCUGACAUUUCCCCGUCAGAGUUGCUUAGGAACCUAAGGAAGGCUCUGGCUGUGAAUUGCAGGAUGGUAAUAAAUUAGUCGGUCCCCAGCCU